rnacentral:rRNA from 1 species
GUCCACGCCCUAAACGAUGAUAACUCGUUGUUGGCGAUACACAGUCAGCGACUAAGCGAAAGCAUUAAGUUAUCCACCUGGGGAGUACGACCGCAAGGUUGAAACUCAAAGGAAUUGACGGGGCCCGCACAAGCGGAGGAGCAUGUGGUUUAAUUCGAUGAUACGCGAGGAACCUUACCUGGGCUUGAAAGUUAGUGACCGUCCCUGAAAGGGGACCUUCAGCAAUGACACGAAACUAGGUGCUGCAUGGCUGUCGU